CAUACAAACUAAAGUGGUAACUCUUCCGAAAGAGUGUGUAGUCAUCUGAGUAGCCUGUAAAUGUAUACCAAUAAAAAAACAUACAUCUUUUAGCCUUCAUAAGUGCGUCAAUAUCAGAUGCAGAAUCGCCAGAUUGGACUCCCUGGUGGGGUGAUUCUGGCCCACGGGCCGUACGUUUCGCACCCCUGGUCUAAUGUGUCCCGAGCUUCUUCCUCGCGAGUUUGGAGCGGUAGUUGGCGAGGAGUUACCUGGUGGUGGAGUAGAAGUGUUCAGACUGAGGCACCAAAUAACUGAAAUACCUUGUGUUACAGGCUACAUGUAAGUGAAAACUGUGGCAAGACUGUUACAAAAACAUGCAGUUGGAUGUUAAAAACAAGGUUUUAUAGUUGUGUGAAACGUAUGCCAUGUAAAAGUUUGUAAAAACAUGUU